UGAGGGAAUAUUGGGUCAAUGGGCGGAAGCCUGAACCAGCCAUGCCGCGUGAAGGAAUAAGGCCCUAUGGGUCGUAAACUUCUUUUGUGGUGGAGCAAUAAGACGUACGUGUACGUCGAUGAGAUUACAUCAUGAAUAAGCAUCGGCUAACUCCGUGCCAGCAGCCGCGGUAAUACGGGGGGAUGCGAGCGUUAUCCGGAUUCAUUGGGUUUAAAGGGUGCGUAGGCGGCUUUGCAAGUCAGCGGUGAAAGGCCCGGGCUCAACCCGGAAAGUGCCGUUGAUACUGUGAGGCUGGAAUGCGGAUGCUGUGGGAGGAAUGAGUGGUGUAGCGGUGAAAUGCAUAGAUAUCACUCAGAACACCGAUUGCGAAGGCAUCUCACAAAUCCGCAAUUGACGCUGA
rnacentral:rRNA from 1 species